UUGUUUGGUAUUCCAAAUACUAGCCUAUUGUGCUCUGUGCUUACACCCAAACUAUGCUUGUCUAGACCCAUUUAAUUUAUUUCCAGCACUGACACAGAUUGCCUGGGUUUGAGUCUUCAAAACUGUUUUUUUUUCAGGAUUUGAUUAAUCUUGUAAUAUUGCAUCAUUUUUUUCAGCAGAUUCAGUGCCAUGUGGACCAUGCUGCCACAUACUUCUCCCAAGUGUGCUAGUGCCUGACAAUGAUGGAUUGUGUUAUGUUAUCUUGACAUGUUUUAGAGUCAUCUGAGAAGAAUGAACCUCAGUUAAGAACAUUACUCCAGGAAAUGGUUUCCUUGAUUCCUGACUUGUAUUUGCUCAAUGAUGGAGAGUGCAAUUGUUGCCCUGCAUAAUAUG
ensembl:antisense Gm14707 predicted gene 14707